rfam:Nicotiana attenuata strain TT chromosome 2, whole genome shotgun sequence.
ACCAGAUCUACUCAUCUGGAAUCUGAUAAAAAUGGAAUGAUAUACAGAAGAUUAUCAUGGCCCCUACGCAAGGAUGAAGCACAAAUUGACAAAUGUGAAAUGUCUAA